UGGCAAUGAUGACCAUCUUAGGACACCUUUGGAAUAAUAAUGAAAACAAUGUUACUCUACUGAGCUUC